GUUCUGGGCCAUAANACNGAUGGCCAACUAGCGAUCCCGCCAGUGGUUGCUUAUUAAACGGACNUCUUGCGAGCAGCUUUCCCGGGAAAACCCAAAANUGUUUUGGGUUUCCGGGGGGAAGUAUGGUUGNAAAAGCUNGAAACUUGAAAGGAAUUG
rnacentral:rRNA from 1 species